GUGUCAGCAGCCGCGGUAAGACGAACCGUGCGAACGUUGUUCGGAAUCACUGGGCUUAAAGGGCGCGUAGGCGGGCGAUCAAGUCAGGGGUGAAAUCCUCCGGCUCAACCGGAGAACUGCCUCUGAUACUGGUCAUCUUGAGUGAGGUAGGGGCGUGCGGAACUGAUGGUGGAGCGGUGAAAUGUGUUGAUAUCAUCAGGAACUCCGGUGGCGAAAGCGGCGCGCUGGACCUUAACUGACGCUGAGGCGCGAAAGCCAGGGGAGCGAACGGGAUUAGAAACCCCCGUAGUCC
rnacentral:rRNA from 1 species